rnacentral:lncRNA from 1 species
UUAGCAUAUAUGGGACUAGUUAGAUGAUCAUCUAUUUUUUUCUUAACUAGUUUUUAUGGGGGAUAUUGUAGAGUUUAUCUCAAUUUGAAACUGUUAUUUACAGAUCCAAUACCGGCUUUAGCUAUUCCUUUUCAUAAAACUUUAGAGAAGUCACAUCUUCAAAUAGAAAAUUACAUUUUGUUGAGAUUACAAACUCAUUAAUUCGCGAUGUUUCUGCAACUUCAUUUGAUUGUCAUCUUAGCCCGAUGUUUUCUCUGUAAUCUGCCAUGAAAUUUUGAAGGCAAGUUUUAUUUAACUGUUCUCAACUUAUUUCCUUUGAUUUCAGUACCUAUAAGAUUCACUAUAUCCUUAAGAAACAAGAUGGAUCGUGGAAAUUUUGCCACGGUGAUAUUGAAAGGCCACAAUGAGACAACCAAUGCAAAGCAUUAAUCAGUGCUGUCAUCUAACUUAGUAUCAGUAACAAGUGUUCAUGGGAGGACACAAAGAAUUCAAGGUAAAUUUCAUCGGAAAGGCUGUUACAGCUUAUCACUUCGGUAAGCCUGUAUCAUACAGGCAGAUUUGUUUAUUUAUUUUUACCUCUCGAAAUUGGCUUGUGAAAAAGUUUAACACGAUAUGUAGUAGAGUUAGGAAGGAAACUAGAACUGGAACGUUUGCAGGUAGAAUUAUGUAAUGGCUGCUAAUUUGUGACAGCAGUUGCACCAGCCUGCUUUAUGUCUGUAGACAAUCUCAAAGAUCUAGUCAGAAUCUGCAUUCCAUUUCUAACUUUGUUACGGAAGAAAAUGUAAAAUAGUUUUCUUUUUUCUUUUUCUCCUAGUUUUUUAAUGUCUCUAUUGUUCUUUCUUUUUCCGAGAAAAUAAAAUGGAAAUAUUUUAAUUAUGAA